UAUAAAGUAACGCCUAAUCGAUUAUUAAAUUAGUCAUCGACUAUUUAAAUAGUCGAUUAGUCAUCGAUUAGUCGACUAAUUCUGGCAGCCCUAAUGAAAAAACAACUUUUUUUUGUAAAUCUAAAAGAAAUUGGUCUACCACGACCUAGAUACAACUAAUUGUUCUUUGCAAGACAAAUCUUGCAUAUAGAAUUUUUUUUCAGCAAUUUCCUACUGAGAUCUUCCUUGGUACUGUGGAGAUACUAUCAAUGCUCCACCCUGCUUAGGAAUCAAACAAGAUACAGAUAAAAUAUAUUCUAUUUUCUAGAUUUAUACAGAAAAAAAAUGAAAGUUUUGUCUCAUUAAAUUCUUUGACUUUCCGCCUUAGACUAUUCCAACUUUUUAAAGUCAAAGAAAAGCAGUAUUAAAAAAAAAACAACACACAUUUACUGAAAGAGAUUUGGUCCCGUAAGUCUCAAAUUUGAUCAGGGAUUCCUGUUAAUCUGGUUUUGCCAGCAGCCGCCAUUGCCCUGCUGCAUCGUACCUUCAUUAGCCCUAUUUAGGGCUCCUCCAUUCUGUGUGUGAGCUCCUAGAGCUGAUGGGAAACAAGAGAGGAGAAGAGAAAGAAGAGGAAGAGGGGAGGAUGAAUGUGAUCUGAUAUCCUUUGACAGGUGGUAUUUGGAACUGAAGGACUGCAGGCUUUAUUGCAUUCAUCGUGGAUUGAGAGGAAUAUAGGGAAGCCCUGUUUGCUUCAUGUUCAUCACACGUUAACUUCAGUCAUCCAGUCUCUGUUAAUAAGAGAGGAUUUGUUUUUGACAGACUCGUCUUCUAAACAAUUGUAUACCGUAAAAAUGCUACAACAAUCUUAACAAUCAGUCAAUUGUAGUCCCAUCUGAAAGAGAAGCUUGCAAUAAGACAAUUUGAAUUUAAUGUAGUGAUGAGGUUGUAUCUCAGUGGAUUUGUCUCUAGUUUAGCUGAAAGUUGCAGUUUAUGGUUUUUUUUUAAGAUGUAUCCAUUUAGUGUUCAUGAAGUGUUAUAAAUGGAAGAUGAUUUUGGAAUAUGUUAAUGGUCCAAAAAAGUAAUUUGUGAGAGUAAAAUGAGAAUUUGACCUUAUAUGUGAAUGUAUGUGAAGCCCGACUUUGAGCAAAAAUGUCCCUAAUUUGUCUAUUUGUGUGCUUUGUUUCGUUUCCAGCCAGUUGCUAGUGGUCAAGCCCAUUGAGAUACAAUCCUAAGCUACUAUGAGAAGCAGAAUGAGUGCAAUCGGAGCCCUUGCUCAAUAGAGUAAUAGAGUAUGUUUGUAGAGUACCAUGAGGAUAGGCGUCAUUCCCCACUGAGCCCGAACAGGAUGGAGGCAAAGUAGAAAUAGAUGCUAAUGCAUGGGUGUUUUACGAAAGCAGUGAUGUUGAUUUAACUGUUGGCCACACGUCGGAUUUCUGCUGAUCAGUUUGAGAGUCACUCUUUGUCUCUCACGUUAGCAACACAUCUGCGAUUUACCUGGAAACGGCCCUCUUUUCACCUGGAUCCACAUACCGGGAGGAUGUUCCAAACAAGGCAGUUUAUGGAGCUUAAAAAAUAAACAUCGUCUCCGGAGACGCACCUCAUCACAUGGAAUACUCCCUUGACAAGAUUGGACCCUUUACUGUGUAAAGAAUCUUUGAGUCUUUUCCCUUCUCCAAUGCUGAGGCGAGACAUGAAACACCGACUUGCUGAUAUUCAAGCCGUGUCCUAAGCAUGGGCGCUUCAGGUCAGCGUUUAAUCUGUCUGUGAUCUCCUAUUCUUUAUAGGGAAAGGGAUUUUGUUUCUGUCUGUCAUCUGCCACAUCUGCUCCUAAACCCAUUGGAUUUACGGUCCCAUAUGCUCACAUUUGUGCCACUGUGCUUUACAUUGCGCUCAAUAUGAGCACAUUGACACGUCAGUGGAUGUAAAUAAUAAAUGAAGACACUGUCCCACAUGGCCAGGAGGCAACUAGAGCUCUAUCAAUGAGGCCAAAGACGGAAAGUGGAUAUUUAUAAAUUAAGUGUCAUUUCUUUGGCAAAUGAUAAAGUUUAAUUAAUAAGAAGGGUGUGGGAUCAAACAGGGUAGGAUUUGGAUCCGAGAAAGUUUAGCUCUCACUGGAGUGCGUCCAUCGGUAACCCCUGAACUGAAUAAAUUCCAGAUGGAUCUUCAAAUAAAAGAAUGCUAGCUUAAAAUUAACAUCUCGCUGUUGAACAACUCAUAUAGUUGGGACCACCCUCGUGAAUAUCCUCAGUUGGAUCUAACCUGAACUAUCCACGGAUUCCUACUAGGCUUUGAUCAAGAAAUUCUAGAAGACACCAACAGAGAAUAACAAGAAGGAGUAUCCAGUUUGUUUCUGGGAAGAUGGAUCUGAUGUGUGACUUUAGGAAUCAGCUUGGAAAAUCCCAAUUCAAACAACCUAAAAGGAAGUUUGCCUGCUAUAAAAAAGUGGGACCCACUUCAAUCAGGACAAGGAUAAGAGUCCAUUAAACAUUGUGGUCCAACUGGAACUGGAGCUUCGCUGAGGUGUGACAGGAAAUACACUGAGUGAGGCGGGGCUGCGUGGGAAAAUGGAGCUAGCUAUCGUUCAACACAAUGAUAUGCUAGUGUGUUUGCACCAACAUGGAGCCUUCUGACAGGAAGCAGUGGAGCCAAGGAUCUGCCUGGGAGACAUGAAUGAUUUUGUGCUCAUCACUUGAUCAACAGGAUAAUCUGCUGAAGACAUGGUGUGUUCAUUUUAGUUUCAAACUACUCCAGUGCUCGAGAGACUUUUUCGGUUUGGUUCUGUCGGUGCUGUGAUAAAUAUGUGCUAAAAAGCUGGCUGGUAGUGUACAUCAGAAACAGUCUUGUGCAGAGUUAGUUCCAUCUCUGAUUUAUCAAAGUAAAAUGAGCCCAGAAAGAUAAGAAAAAGCAGGGGGGUUGGGAAGGGAAUUUUUGAGCUACCGAUUCAACAGCUUGCAAUUCCAUUUAGAAGUGAAAUCUUGAGAUUCCUUUAUGGAUUUAUCAACCUGCCAUAAAAUUAUGGAGGAAUUUUGUCUUGUUCUUAACAAAAGCAUUUCUGUUUGUUUUUGUUCUUGGACAUUUGUCAAUGUAGCGCCCUCACAAGGUCCUACUGCAGAUCUUGGUAGGUUGAGGUCUGGACUUAUGGAUUUUAACUGGAUCAUUGGGUCAUACUGAUUUUCCUCGUCUUUUUUUGAAAAACUUUGGGGUCAUGUGACCCAAUUACAAACAAGUUUCACUAUCAUUAAAAGUUUGUGUUAAAAUAAAAACUUUUGAACCUUCUGGUACACAGGAGUUAACGGUUGUCUCAGUAACAGCUACCCAAGUCCUAUGACUGCAAAACAAGCCCCAACCAUCACCUGUCUACCUCUGCGCUCAACAGUUGGAAUGUGGUCUUUUUUCUGAAUUUUCUCAUAGAUUUUCUUCAACUCUAGUGUGAGGAAUUCUGACAUAACCUAUAAUUGUUCUUAUUAUGGGAAUGUUGAGAAUAAUAGUGUGUUCAGGUAUUGUUUGUAAUCAAAGUCAUGCUUUUGUGUUCUCAUUAGAAGAGACCUCCUCCUUGAAACUCUACAAACGUUUUAAACUCAGUCUUUCCCCCGGGUGCUAUUAUGGAUUUAAACAUUGAAUACAUUACCCAGACCAUGCUCUAAGAAGGUCUCUGGGAUGAUGAUGUUUGCUUUCAUCUGACUUUGAUGCAAUCUAACCUUGAACAUUGUACCUGAGAAAACCUGAGAACUGUAAUAAAUGUUCUUAGUAUUGAAUAGCCUUUUCAACAUAACGGUCCAGCUAAUUUAAAAGCAACAGCUGAUUUUCUAAGUGUGCGGCCAAGUUUCUCCAUGCUUACUUCCUUUCAUUCUGAAAGUAAAAUGCUGCAAUGUCUACUGAAUAUCAAAUCAUUUUGAUCUUAUGAGAUGAGAACAGAAGGAGGGUACCUAAUAUUAACACUUGUCUUUCUGGCUUCAUUUCGAUUAAAUAAAUAAUUCAAAGAGAAUUUUUAGAAAAUGCAGAGAAGACUAUUGGAUCAAUGGAAAAGGAUCUAACUUUUGCACAACUGUGAAAGUGACAAGUUCUUAAUGUGUUCAGGAUGAACCAUUUAAAGACCUGAACUUGAUGAAAAAGCUGUGUUCUUCCUGUAGUUUUUAAACACAUGUAAAUCCACAGUUCAGCCAUGAAUCAAAGAUGUAUUGUUUCUGUGUUAUGAACCCCCAGCUAUUAUUUUACAGAGGAUUCAUUGUUUGUCAAUGCUUGCCGCAUCUUUUUUUUUGGGUCAGAUCUAGUUAUAGCAUGUGUGCCUGAAGCUUAAACUGUCCUUAAGUUAAAGAAAUAUUAACAAGUAAUUCUAAAAUUUUAAAACAAACUCCACUGUCUUUAUACUUUAUAUGCAGUGAUGUGCUAAAAAUGAUCUUGUCCUCAUCAAUGACUCAAACUAGGUCAAUACAGGCUAAAGUAAAUAACUACAAAUUAAUUCCCACAACACUCUUUAGAUAUUUACAAAAAUGUAGGAUAAACACAGGCUUUAACAGCUUUUACAGACUUUAAUUGUUUCUUUGAGUGCCAGAGAUGAAAGCAACCCAAACCAAAGGAAUAUUUACCAUUUAAAACCAUUCUCCUUCUAUCCCAGUUCAAGGAAUUGCCAAAAAAAUCUUUUUCGCAGAGAGGUUUAUGUUUGGCUUAGUGACAGCAGUGUCUUCAGGUACUGUUGCUGUCAAACAAGCCAACAGCCAUCCACCAUCAUGCUAAACCUUUGCUUUGGUUGGCUGAAUUGCUUUGAAAAGUUUUAAAUGUAUUUAGAAGUCAAAUCCAUAUGUCUAAAGUACUUCUCAUACCAAUAUACGCUUUAGAGAUAGGUGAGAGUAUUCCACCGGCUGAAACUAAAGGCCCUACUUAGUUCUCCAAUGUUUUAAAGAACAGCUCUCUUAACAUUGACUCUUGAGAGUCACUAAUUUGCUAAAUGAUAAAGCAGUAUUAGUUAUCUUCUUUGUCCUGUGCAACAGUUGAACUUACCUGGAUAACAUCUGGGAAGGACCUCAUUGUUCAUAAAAAAGUAAAAUUUAAAGAGAUUUUCUUUUUCUUUUUUGCUACAAAGUGUAGUCUAUAAUUCUGACUACUGCCAUUAGAGCCACUUGCAGAAUACUUUCUACUUGUAGAGACAAAUCAUGAGUAUGAGUCUAAUAUGUGUACCACCUUGCAACCAUAGCUUUGUUCCAUGUUUUGUCCAACACCAAAGUAAAUUUAUAUUGCACUAGCACCAUUAGAUUCAGUGGAGGCCUUGUGCAGUGAGUAUUUGAGGGCAGUUCCACAUUCUUUGCAAACUUGCCAAAUUCCAUUUUGUCUGGAGUUGACUGCCAACCAAAGACAGGAAGCAAGCGAAAGCGUGAGGGAAUCAAAAGAACAAUGACUCAGUGAGUGUGAGAGACUGCAUCACAAAAACACAACGGCCCCGCUCUCAUCAGCCGGGCCCGAGUACCCCAGCCAAGCCUGACAGUUCAUCUCAAAGCAUCAAAGCAUGAUGGGAAAAUACCAGCGUCCACAGCGGGCAAAUGUGUGUCUGACCAGACCUUGUUUUCACUGCAAAUGCCCUUCAACUCACUUGGCCCUAAAAUAGAUUAUUGGAAAAAGUUAAUCCUUUCUGUGUCAGCUUAAAAAAACAAUUAUGUCAUUUAUGAGGCCGGCUGCUUAACACCUCCUCUUAGAAGACAAUUCUUUUGAUAAUCUAAUAACCUGAUAUUUAUAUCACCAAUACUAUCUAGAAGAAAGAGCUAAACACUUUUAUCAUCCAAUGGUUGUAGUUGGAGGAUAUAAAUAGUUUGGACCCAAUAUUUUGACAUUUUGAUCAGAGAAAAAAAAGGAGACCAACUUUCUCAGAGUUUUUAAGAGUACUCUCUUUUAUUAACUCAGAAACAAUGUUUAUCUUUGGAAUCAAAAGAAGAGCUGAGAAGAUUUCUCUGUUACAAUGAACAGUAUCUUACGCACUUCAUUGUUAUAUUCAAUUAAACUUUAUUUGUCCUUUUUCCUUGAAACAAAAACCCACCAUUUGUAAUUCCUACUACACGUCACUCAGUAGUAAAAUAAUAAUAA